rnacentral:lncRNA from 1 species
UAGGUUUUUAUAUCUAAAUGUUAACCAUCUAAACAGAAAUUAUUGACAUUUAUUAUGUUUUAACGAUUAAUAAAACUAGGUUAUGUAUAUGUAUUAAGAACAAAGUUCUUAGAAUUGAGUAACUGAAACUACAGUAACUUGUAAAAGACUUAGAGAUCCUGGAGUGAGUUAUUUUAGUGUCGGAGAUUUACCGAAAACAACCUCGUGAUCCAUGUUCUCUCUCUGAACCAUC